rnacentral:rRNA from 1 species
GAUGAACGCUGGCGGCGUGCCUAAUACAUGCAAGUCGAGCGAACAGACGAGGAGCUUGCUCCUCUGACGUUAGCGGCGGACGGGUGAGUAACACGUGGAUAACCUACCUAUAAGACUGGGAUAACUUCGGGAAACCGGAGCUAAUACCGGAUAAUAUAUUGAACCGCAUGGUUCAAUAGUGAAAGACGGUUUUGCUGUCACUUAUAGAUGGAUCCGCGCCGCAUUCGCUAGUUGGUAAGGUAACGGCUUACCAAGGCAACGAUGCGUAGCCGACCUGAGAGGGUGAUCGGCCACACUGGAACUGAGACACGGUCCAGACUCCUACGGGAGGCAACAGUAGGGAAUCUUCCGCAAUGGGCGAAAGCCUGACGGAGCAACGCCGCGUGAGUGAUGAAGGUCUUCGGAUCGUAAAACUCUGUUAUUAGGGAAGAACAAAUGUGUAAGUAACUAUGCACGUCUUGACGGUACCUAAUCAGAAAGCCACGGCUAACUACGUG